UAUGGAGGAUGCGAGCGUUAUCCGGAUUUAUUGGGUUUAAAGGGUGCGUAGGCUGGUAAUUAAGUCAGUGGUGAAAUACUCCGGCUCAACCGGGGGGCUGCCGUUGAUACUGGUUACCUUGAGUUUAGAUGAUGUGGGCGUAAUGUGUCAUGUAGCGGUGAAAUGCAUAGAGAUGACACAGAACACCGAUAGCGAAGGCAGCUCACAAAGCUAUUACUGACGCUGAUGCACGAAAGCGUGGGGAUCAAACA
rnacentral:rRNA from 1 species